ACAGCAGCCGCGGUAAUACGUAGGUGGCGAGCGUUAUCCGGAAUUACUGGGUGUAAAGGGCGUGUAGGCGGGAAUGUAAGUCAGAUGUGAAACUCCGGGGCUUAACUCCGGAUCUGCAUCUGAAACUAUGUUUCUUGAGUGCUGGAGAGGAAAGCGGAAUUCCUAGUGUAGCGGUGAAAUGCGUAGAUAUUAGGAGGAACACCAGUGGCGAAGGCGGCUUUCUGGACAGUAACUGACGCUGAGGCGCGAAAGCGUGGGGAGCAAACAGGAUUAGAUACCCUGGUAGUCCACGCUGUAAACGAUGGAUACUAGGUGUGGGAGGUAUCGACCCCUUCCGUGCCGCAGUUAACACAAUAAGUAUCCCACCUGGGGAGUACGGCCGCAAGGUUGAAACUUAAAGGAAUUGGCGGGGGA
rnacentral:rRNA from 1 species